rnacentral:rRNA from 1 species
UACGGAGGGUGCAAGCGUUAUCCGGAUUCACUGGGUUUAAAGGGUGCGUAGGCGGAACGAUAAGUCAGUGGUGAAAGCCCCGAGCUCAACUUGGGAAUUGCCAUUGAUACUGUUGUUCUUGAGUUCGGUUGAGGUAGGCGGAAUAUGUCAUGUAGCGGUGAAAUGCUUAGAUAUGACAUAGAACACCGAUUGCGAAGGCAGCUUACCAAGCCGACACUGACGCUGAGGCACGAAAGCGUGGGGAUCAAACAGG